ACUUCGAAAGAGGAUAUUUCACUUUUUUUUUUCUCUGUGUAGGAGCUGCUGCGAUUCCCAAAGCUUCACGAUGCCAUCGUGGAAGUGGUUACCUCCCUCUUGAGAAAGAGACUACCCAUUACCAAUGACAUGGUUCACAACCUGGUCGCGAUUGAGCUGGCGUACAUCAACACCAAACAUCCUGACUUUGCUGACGCCUGUGGCCUCAUGAACCACAACAUUGAGGAGCAAAGACGCAACAGAAUGAGGGACCUGCCAUCUGCUGUCCC